ensembl:lncRNA
GGAAGAUCGUGUGAGACAAUGUGUGCGGCAGGCCCACGGGACUGGGUGCACAGGGGGACUCAACAGUGUGACUUCCUUUCCACAACAUCAGCGCCAGGUGGGACCCGCCUGCCCUUCAGACCCAGAGACGAUCUCAUCUGCCCAACUGCCCAGAGCCAAGGAGUCUCACCUGUAGCCCUCAGCGUCCUGUUCCUGUCCACACUGGCAGUGCUCAUGCCUGCUAAACAGCAGUCUCCCUGGGGACGCCUCUCACCUGCUGCCCUGCACUGGUACCUCUGUUUUCUGGAGCCCAUGUCUUAACUCUUUCUUGGUUUUCUCCUUUAGUCCUUUCCUAG